rnacentral:piRNA from 1 species
CCAAAUGUUUGCGAAGGUGCUUCUUGGAGU